CCUACGGGUGGCAGCAGUGGGGAAUAUUGCACAAUGGGCGCAAGCCUGAUGCAGCCAUGCCGCGUGUGUGAAGAAGGCCUUCGGGUUGUAAAGCACUUUCAGCGGGGAGGAAGGCGGUGAGGUUAGUAACCUCAUCGAUUGACGUUACCCGCAGAAGAAGCACCGGCUAACUCCGUGCCAGCAGCCGCGGUAAUACGGAGGGUGCAAGCGUUAAUCGGAAUUACUGGGCGUAAAGCGCACGCAGGCGGUCUGUCAAGUCGGAUGUGAAAUCCCCGGGCUCAACCUGGGAACUGCAUUCGAAACUGGCAGGCUAGAGUCUUGUAGAGGGGGGUAGAAUUCCAGGUGUAGCGGUGAAAUGCGUAGAGACCUGGAGGAAUACCGGUGGCGAAGGCGGCCCCCUGGACAAAGACUGACGCUCAGGUGCGAAAGCGUGGGGAGCAAACAGGAUUAGAUACCCUAGUAGUC
rnacentral:rRNA from 1 species